UACGUAGGGUGCGAGCGUUAAUCGGAAUUACUGGGCGUAAAGCGUGCGCAGGCGGUUGUGCAAGGCAGAUGUGAAAUCCCCGGGCUCAACCUGGGAACUGCAUUUGUGACUGCACGGCUGGAGUGCGGCAGAGGGGGAUGGAAUUCCGCGUGUAGCAGUGAAAUGCGUAGAUAUGCGGAGGAACACCGAUGGCGAAGGCAAUCCCCUGGGCCUGCACUGACGCUCAUGCACGAAAGCGUGGGGAGCAAACAGG
rnacentral:rRNA from 1 species